UUUCGGAUAUGAUGAUUAAAAAAAUGGAUGUUGAUGGCAUCUUUGCCGCUGAAGCAAUCUUUAUUUUGCACGUCAGUCUGAUCCUGUU
rfam:Eutrema salsugineum unplaced genomic scaffold scaffold_10, whole genome shotgun sequence.